rnacentral:pre_miRNA from 1 species
UUACUACUCCCUCCGUUCGGAAUUACUUGUCGCAGAAAUGGAUGUAUCUAGACGUAUUUUAUUUCUAGAUACAUCCAUUUCCGAGACAAGUAAUUCCGAACGGAGGGAGUAGUAA